rnacentral:rRNA from 1 species
GAUGAACGCUGGCGGCGUGCCUAAUACACGCAAGUCGAGCGAACGGACGAGAAGCUUGCUUCUCUGAUGUUAGCGGCGGACGGGUGAGUAACACGUGGAUAACCUACCUAUAAGACUGGGAUAACUUCGGGAAACCGGAGCUAAUACCGGAUAAUAUUUUGAACCGCAUGGUUCAAAAGUGAAAGACGGUCUUGCUGUCACUUAUAGAUGGAUCCGCGCUGCAUUAGCUAGUUGGUAAGGUAACGGCUUACCAAGGCAACGAUGCAUAGCCGACCUGAGAGGGUGAUCGGCCACACUGGAACUGAGACACGGUCCAGACUCCUACGGGAGGCAGCAGUAGGGAAUCUUCCGCAAUGGGCGAAAGCCUGACGGAGCAACGCCGCGUGAGCGAUGAAGGUCUUCGGAUCGUAAAACUCUGUUAUUAGGGAAGAACAUAUGUGUAAGUAACUGUGCACAUCUUGACGGUACCUAAUCAGAAAGCCACGGCUAACUACGUG